rnacentral:rRNA from 1 species
UACAGAGGUCCCGAGCGUUGUUCGGAUUCACUGGGCGUAAAGGGUGCGUAGGUGGUGAGGUAAGUCGGAUGUGAAAGCUCGGAGCUCAACUCCGAAAUGGCAUUGGAAACUACCUUGCUAGAGGAAUGGAGGGGGGACUGGAAUUCUCGGUGUAGCAGUGAAAUGCGUAGAUAUCGAGAGGAACACCAGUGGCGAAGGCGAGUCCCUGGACAUUUCCUGACACUGAGGCACGAAAGCUAGGGGAGCAAACAGG